rnacentral:snoRNA from 1 species
GGGCUAGUGAAGCAAAAUUCAUCUAAUCCAACACUUCAUCCUGUUCCAUUCUGUUUUAAUAUUUUCCUCCUCAAUCCAC